UCCGUAGGCGGGCAAUCAAGUCAGAGGUGAAAUCCCACAGCUCAACUGUGGAACUGCCUUUGAUACUGGUUGUCUUGAGUUAUAGUGAAGUAGAUAGAAUAUGUAGUGUAGCGGUGAAAUGCAUAGAUAUUACAUAGAAUACCGAUUGCGAAGGCAGUCUACUAACUGUAUACUGACGCUAAUGGACGAAAGCGUGGGGAGCGAACAGGAUUAGAUACCCUGGUAGUCC
rnacentral:rRNA from 1 species